CUUGGUCAUUUAGAGGAAGUAAAAGUCGUAACAAGGUUUCCGUAGGUGAACCUGCGGAAGGAUCAUUACAGAGAACAUGCCCUUUAGGGGGUAUAUCUCCCACCCUUUGUUUACAAUACCUUUGUUGCUUUGGUGGGCCCGUCUUUUAGACCACCGGCCUUGGCUGGUCUGUGCCCACCAGAGGACCAAACAAUUCCUUUUAUUAUGUUGUCUGAGUCUAAAUAAUUUUUAUAAAACUUUCAACAACGGAUCUCUUGGUUCUGGCAUCGAUGAAGAACGCAGCGAAAUGCGAUAAGUAAUGUGAAUUGCAGAAUUCAGUGAAUCAUCGAAUCUUUGAACGCACAUUGCGCCCCUUGGUAUUCCGAGGGGCAUGCCUGUUCGAGCGUCAUUAUGACCACUCAAGCCUAGCUUGGUAUUGGGGUUCGCGGUCCCGCGGCCCUUAAAAUCAGUGGCGGUGCCAUCUGGCUCUAAGCGUAGUAAUUUAUCUCGCUAUUGGGUCCGGUGGUUGCUUGCCAACAACCCCUAACUUUUAAGGUUGACCUCGGAUCAGGUAGGGAUACCCGCUGAACUUAAGCAUAUCAAUAAGCGGAGGAA
rnacentral:sRNA from 1 species